rnacentral:rRNA from 1 species
AUUGAACGCUGGCGGAAUGCUUUAUACAUGCAAGUCGAACGGCAGCACGGACUUCGGUCUGGUGGCGAGUGGCGAACGGGUGAGUAACAUAUCGGAACGUAUCCAAUAAUGGGGGAUAACUAAUCGAAAGGUUGGCUAAUACCGCAUACGCCCUACGGGGGAAAGCAGGGGAUCUUCGGACCUUGCGUUAAUGGAGCGGCUGAUAUCUGAUUAGCUAGUUGGUGAGGUAAAGGCUCACCAAGGCGACGAUCAGUAGCUGGUCUGAGAGGACGACCAGCCAAACUGGAACUGAGACACGGUCCAGACUCCUACGGGAGGCAGCAGUGGGGAAUUUUGGACAAUGGGCGCAAGCCUGAUCCAGCCAUUCCGCGUGAGUGAAGAAGGCCUUCGGGUUGUAAAGCUCUUUCGCAAGGGAAGAAAACUUACUUUCUAAUAAAGAGUGAGGUUGACGGUACCUUGAUAAGAAGCACCGGCUAACUACGUGCCAGCCGCCGCAGUAA